AUUGAACGCUGGCGGCAGGCCUAACACAUGCAAGUCGAACGAGUGGCGGAUGGGUGAGUAAUGUCUGGGAUACUGCCCGCUGGAGGGGGAUAACUACUGGAAACGGUAGCUAAUACCGCAUACCCUCGGAUGUGCCCAAGUGGGAUUAGCUAGUAGGCGGGGUAACGGCUCACAUAGGCGACGAUCCCUAGCUGGUCUGAGAGGCUGACCGGCCACACUGGAACUGAGACACGGUCCAAACUCCUACGGGAGGCAGCAGUGGGGAAUAUUGCACAAUGGGCGCAAGCCUGAUGCAGCCAUGCCGCGUGUAUGAAGAAGGCCUUCGGGUUGUAAAGUUCUUUCGGCGAGGAGGCGUUACUCGCAGAAAAAGCACCGGCUAACUCCGUGCCAGCAGCCGCGGUAAUAC
rnacentral:rRNA from 1 species